rnacentral:rRNA from 2 species
AUGCAGUCGAGCGGACAGAUGGGAGCUUGCUCCCUGAUGUUAGCGGCGGACGGGUGAGUAACACGUGGGUAACCUGCCUGUAAGACUGGGAUAACUCCGGGAAACCGGGGCUAAUACCGGAUGGUUGUUUGAACCGCAUGGUUCAAACAUAAAAGGUGGCUUCGGCUACCACUUACAGAUGGACCCGCGGCGCAUUAGCUAGUUGGUGAGGUAACGGCUCACCAAGGCAACGAUGCGUAGCCGACCUGAGAGGGUGAUCGGCCACACUGGGACUGAGACACGGCCCAGACUCCUACGGGAGGCAGCAGUAGGGAAUCUUCCGCAAUGGACGAAAGUCUGACGGAGCAACGCCGCGUGAGUGAUGAAGGUUUUCGGAUCGUAAAGCUCUGUUGUUAGGGAAGAACAAGUACCGUUCGAAUAGGGCGGUACCUUGACGGUACCUAACCAGAAAGCCACGGCUAACUACGUGCCAGCAGCCGCGGUAAUACGUAGGUGGCAAGCGUUGUCCGGAAUUAUUGGGCGUAAAGGGCUCGCAGGCGGUUUCUUAAGUCUGAUGUGAAAGCCCCCGGCUCAACCGGGGAGGGUCAUUGGAAACUGGGGAACUUGAGUGCAGAAGAGGAGAGUGGAAUUCCACGUGUAGCGGUGAAAUGCGUAGAGAUGUGGAGGAACACCAGUGGCGAAGGCGACUCUCUGGUCUGUAACUGACGCUGAGGAGCGAAAGCGUGGGGAGCGAACAGGAUUAGAUACCCUGGUAGUCCACGCCGUAAACGAUGAGUGCUAAGUGUUAGGGGGUUUCCGCCCCUUAGUGCUGCAGCUAACGCAUUAAGCACUCCGCCUGGGGAGUACGGUCGCAAGACUGAAACUCAAAGGAAUUGACGGGGGCCCGCACAAGCGGUGGAGCAUGUGGUUUAAUUCGAAGCAACGCGAAGAACCUUACCAGGUCUUGACAUCCUCUGACAAUCCUAGAGAUAGGACGUCCCCUUCGGGGGCAGAGUGACAGGUGGUGCAUGGUUGUCGUCAGCUCGUGUCGUGAGAUGUUGGGUUAAGUCCCGCAACGAGCGCAACCCUUGAUCUUAGUUGCCAGCAUUCAGUUGGGCACUCUAAGGUGACUGCCGGUGACAAACCGGAGGAAGGUGGGGAUGACGUCAAAUCAUCAUGCCCCUUAUGACCUGGGCUACACACGUGCUACAAUGGACAGAACAAAGGGCAGCGAAACCGCGAGGUUAAGCCAAUCCCACAAAUCUGUUCUCAGUUCGGAUCGCAGUCUGCAACUCGACUGCGUGAAG